AAGCGAUAAAGGCAAAUUCAUCGAAAGGUGAAGACGCAAAGCUACAGGGACUAAAGUCGAAAGAUUAUGUCAGCCAGUUACCGAU
rnacentral:ncRNA from 1 species